GUUUCCCUGGGGUGUUUGCCAGCGGGCUAAGUCCCUGAGCCGAUAAUCACCUUUUCAGGAAUAGCAUCGGGUGCUAUUGAGCAAGCUCAGAUAAACUGAGAAGCCUACGGCAAACGCUUGUUGUUCCGCCUUGAACCGAAUGGUUCAAGGGCAGACGCCAAUGCAGCGGCACUCUGGGGUACUC
rnacentral:other from 1 species